GACGAACGCUGGCGGCGUGCUUAACACAUGCAAGUCGAACGGUGAUGCUCCAGCUUGCUGGCGUGGAUCAGUGGCGAACGGGUGAGUAACACGUGAGCAACCUGCCCCAGACUCUGGAAUAAGCGCUGGAAACGGCGUCUAAUACUGGAUACGAAACUGGCCCGCAUGGGCAUGGUUUGGAAAGUUUUUCGGUUUGGGAUGGGCUCGCGGCCUAUCAGCUUGUUGGUGAGGUAAUGGCUCACCAAGGCGACGACGGGUAGCCGGCCUGAGAGGGCGACCGGCCACACUGGGACUGAGACACGGCGCAGACUCCUACGGGAGGCAGCAGUGGGGAAUAUUGCACAAUGGGCGAAAGCCUGAUGCAGCGACGCCGCGUGAGGGAUGACGGCCUUCGGGUGGUAAACCUCUUUCAGCAGGGAAGAAGCGAAAGUGACGGUACCUGCAGAAGAAGCACCGGCUAACUACGUG
rnacentral:rRNA from 1 species